AUUGAACGCUGGCGGCAUGCCUUACACAUGCAAGUCGAACGGCAGCACGGGUGCUUGCACCUGGUGGCGAGUGGCGAACGGGUGAGUAAUAUAUCGGAACGUACCUUAUUGUGGGGGAUAACGCAGCGAAAGCUGUGCUAAUACCGCAUAAUCCCUUAGGGGGAAAGCGGGGGACCGUAAGGCCUCGCGCAAUUAGAGCGGCCGAUACCUGAUUAGCUAGUUGGUGAGGUAAAGGCUCACCAAGGCGACGAUCAGUAGCUGGUCUGAGAGGACGAUCAGCCACACUGGGACUGAGACACGGCCCAGACUCCUACGGGAGGCAGCAGUGGGGAAUUUGGGACAAUGGGGGCAACCUGAUCCAGCAAUGCCGCGUGAGUGAAGAAGGCCUUCGGGUUGUAAAGCUCUUUUGUCAGGGAAGAAACAGCAGCUCUAACACAGUAUGCGAAUGACGGUACCUGAAGAAUAAGCACCGGCUAACUACGUGCCAGCCGCCGCAGUAA
rnacentral:rRNA from 1 species